rnacentral:rRNA from 1 species
UACAGAGGGUGCGAGCGUUAAUCGGAAUUACUGGGCGUAAAGCGUGCGUAGACGGUUAUUUAAGUCGGGUGUGAAAGCCCCGGGCUCAACCUGGGAAUUGCAUUCGAGACUGAAUAGCUAGGGUACGGUAGAGGGAAGUGGAAUUUCCGGUGUAGCGGUGAAAUGCGUAGAUAUCGGAAGGAACAUCAGUGGCGAAAGCGGCUUCCUGGUCCAGCACCGACGUCAGGCACGAAAGCGUGGGGAGCAAACAGGG